rnacentral:rRNA from 1 species
GACGAACGCUGGCGGCGUGCUUAACACAUGCAAGUCGAACGGAAAGGCCCUGCUUUUUUGGUGUUCUCGAGUGGCGAACGGGUGAGUAACACGUGUGUAACCUGCUCUUCACUUUGGUAUAACUUCACGAAACUGGGCCUAAUACCGUAUAGGAUCUCCUGUUGCAUUGUGGGCGUUGGAUAUUUUCGGCGGUCGGGGAUGGAUUCGCGGCUUAUCAGCUUGUUGGUUGGGUAGUGGCUUACCAAGCCUUUGGAGGGUCGCCGGCAUGAGAGGGUGAACGGCGACAAGGGGACUGAGAGAGGGACCAGACGGGUACGGGAGACAACGGGGGGGAGUAUGACACAGUGAGAGGGAGCCUGAUGAAGAGACGCCGGGGGCGGGAUGACGGCCUUCGGGGAAUGAAAAGCUUUAGGCUGUGACGAAGCGGGAGUGACGGUAAUGAAUAAAGAAGCACCGGCUAACUACGUG